GAAAUCUGUGGGCAGCUGACGUGUGGUAACCUCAGGAUUAAGAGUCAGCCACCUACCUUCGGAUGAGGAACUGGGUACGGAAUGGGGAAGCUGGGAGAGGGGUAGGGGGCGGCGAGGAGCAUUUACUGCAGCGCCCCCCAUCCCCGGGGCGGAAGUCAGAGAAAACGAGAAGCUGCAUUCAGUCGCAACGGCUAUAACGCCGCCUAUGUCCGGUCUGGACGGGACCCUUCUCAGACAAGGGCAAGGACCUCCUUCCCUGCCUCGUUUUGGUGGGAGGAGAGAGGUGAAGACGAUGGAAUGCGCUUAAGAAGGCCGAAGUCUUCUGAGUCUUCUGAGCUCUCCGGACACAGUAACCCUGACCCCUCCCUAUUCCUCUCCAACCUACAGAUGUCCUUCAACUCCUGCCCCUCCACCCCAACUCCCAGCUUCCUCUGGCUUUUCCCAGUUAGGCCCAGAGGCGAUCUUAAUCAGUUUCUCUAACCUCGUUCUGUUUGGUAUACACACUUGCCCAGCCUCCUCUCUCUUCUGGGCUGGGAUCCUGACCCUGUUUGGCCGCCUGGGCUCUCAUUCUGAAAGCCCAGUAACCACCACUGUGUCCUCCCGAUAGUCUUCGCUCAAAAUUGCCCCCAAAUUGCCCCAAAGCUUCCCGCCACCUUUAGAACUACAGCAAGCCUUUCCCCCUCAUGUCCUGGCUACCUGGCUGACCAUGUCCUACCCCCUUCUCUCCCUCACGACACUCCACUUGAGCCACACCAGCUCUUUCUGGGCUCACGGAGAGCACUCCUGGCCCAGGGCCUUUGCACCUGUUGUUCCCUCUGCCAGGAAGCCCUCCCACCCAUACCCACAUGGCUCUGUCCCUCCCUCCAUUUAGGUAUCUGCUCGGAUAUUGUCAGGGAGCCCUUGCCUGAUCACCCUUAAACAGCAUCACCGGUCAUUCUUUCCCCUUGGCCUGCUUCCUUCUCUGAAAACUACAGCACUGACAUUAUAUCAUACACCAAUUCAGCAUUUACCUGUUGCCCUCACAAGAACGUCAGCUUCUGCCAGGUAGAGGCUUGGGUUAUUCUGCUCACUGCUCUGUCCCCAACACUUGAUACCUGGUACAUACUAGGCAGUCCACGUUUGGCAAAUGAAUGAACGUGUGAAUGCCAUAAGGGGACCGCAGGGAGCUGUUUUACAUAGAUUAUAAGAGUUGCUCCUCACAGCCCUCUGACAGAGGUGGUGUCUUCAUUUUACAGAUAAGGAAACGGGCAUUCUCUGAUUCUCCCGCACGUCCAGAGUCUGGUAAGUAGUAGAACUAGAACUGAGUUGCAGUCUAACUACAUUAUUUACCACCUCCUGACAGGACUACAGGCCAGCAUGGCCAUCACUGUCUUCCCACAGGGCAACAGGGGGAGACCACAAGGGGAAUGAGCCACACAGGCCGCCACCAAGGAAGGAAUAAGCAGAGGCUUGGUAACCUCCCAAAUACCAAGUCUCCACUGCCCUAGAAUCUUCUUAUGGUCCAUCUGCCUGCUUUGGAGGCAGAGAAACCUGCAUGGGAGGGAAAACUGUGUGCUAGAGCACAAGCCGUGGGGGGGGGGUGGUCCUCUGGCAGACUCAGACAGGAACCAACUGUGGUGCGCAUAAACUACGGACCACCAGCUAAUUGUCACACCUCUACCAACCCCAGUUUCCCUGGCAGUAAAACCAAGAAAAUGACAUCAGCUUAGCACAGUGCCUACGAAGCAGUCAAUAAGUGAUCAUUUUCGAUCAUCUCAAUUAUGAUCAUUAAAGUUAGGAUCACAACUCUGUCACCCAUCAGCUGUGUCAUUUGCCAUUGCCAUCCUUGGACAGAAGUCUUGUCAUCUGUAAACAGGGUCAAUAAUCCCCACCGCACAGAGUAGCUCAGUCCCCCUCUGCCCCACUCGGCCACCGCUCGUGAGGACAGCCCCGGAGCCGGGCGAGGGCACCUCAGCCGCCGCGGCGCGCAGCACAGCCUGCGCCGGCCUGGCCCGCCACGCUCACCGGUCACUCGACCACAGCACCAGCGGCACCUGCUGCUCCGCCUCCGCCACCGCCACCGCCACCGCCACCAGCACCAGCAGUAGCCACCGCAUCUGCCAGAGCGCUGGGGCCUGCCGCGUCCCCGCCUGAAGCCGAGCCGCUGCGGUCGCCGCCAUCACAGCCUCGGCCUCCGCUGCCUCGGCCGCCGCCGCCGCUGCAGAUCAGAUGGAUUCUGCUUGAGACAGAUGAGGAGAGAAGAGGGCCCCGGAUAACGUGCAGAGGAACCCCAGCACUUAAAAUGGGCAGGGAGUAGGGGGGUCCAGAAGAGAUCGGAGGAGUAUCCAGGAGGAGGGGAAAACCCAGGGAGAAGCGUGGUUUCAAGGACCCCAAGCUGAACAAUGUCAGAGUUAACUGCUGCCAGGAAGCAGGAUCUUUGCAAAUGUGAUCAAGAUAAGGUCAUGGUGGAUUCAUGUGGGCUCUAAAUCCAAUGACUGGUAUCUUUAUAAGAAGAGGAAAAUUUGGACACAGAGACAGACACACAGGGAAGAAGGCCGCGUGACAAUGGAGACAGAUUAGAGUGUUACAGCCGUAAGCCAAGGAACCCCUGGACUGGCCACAAGCUGGAAAAGGCAGGAAGGUUUCCUCCCUAGGGCUUUCAGAGGGAGCAUGGACCUGCCUGUACCUUGAUUUUGGACUUGGAACCUCCAGGACUGGGAGAGAAGUUUCUGUCGUCUUAAGUCUGCCAAUUUAUGGUGAUCUGUUACGGCAGCCCUAGGAAACUAAUACACUAUAUGUGUGACAUUUUUCAUAACAAAAAUUGAGAAGAAAGUUUGAUAAUGCCUAUUGUCAGCAAGGAUGUUAGGAGAUAGAGUCUCACCUACACGGUGGUAAGAAUGUCAGUUGGUAGAACCAAUUUGGUGGAUAAUUUGGCAGCAUCUAACAAGCUGAAAAAUGUAUAUGACCCUCAACCAAGCAAUUUUCCUCAUACGGGUCCAUUCAACAGAAAUACUCACCUGAGCCGGGAGACGCACAUGCAAAAAGGUCUGCUGAGGCACCAUUUGUGGUUGCAAUAAGCCGGGCGCUCAUGAUUGGACAGCGAGACACUAUGUCCAGACACCGCUGCCCUUCAAACACCCAGGCCAGCUCACUGAUUACCUCUGCUCGUCAGAGAAACUGCUUAAGAGAUUGUGGUCGUGGUUGUCACGAGCGUGGCUCCGACUAGAACAGUGGCAGUUGAGCCUAGAGAGAGGAGGUGGACUUGAUAGGACAUGGUUGAGGAAGACGGUGUCCAAAGGUGACUCUUGGGUCUCUCAGUUGAGGACUGAGAGACGGAGUCAACCAGGGACAGUUAAAUUUGGGGUGUUGUGGGGCCCCCAAGUGGCCAUGUUCAGCCCAGCUGAGGGGAGACGUUUGCACUGGAGCUUUACUUUAUCCCCAGAAGCCCCAGUGCCAUGAUUUGAUUUUAAUUUUUUUAAGGUUUAUUUAUUUUUGAG